AUUUCCCUUAUCUCCUUCGCAGUGCAGCUCCUUCAACCUCGCCAUGGCCUCUGCCGGAAUGCAGAUCCUGGGAGUCGUCCUGACACUGCUGGGCUGGGUGAAUGGCCUGGUCUCCUGUGCCCUGCCCAUGUGGAAGGCUCUGCUGUUUCUCACCCUUGGAUGAUGGAGCCAAAGAGGGGAUGCUUUGAGAUUCUGGAUCUUGACAUGCCCAUCUUAGAAGCCAGUCAAGCUAUGGAACUAAUGCGGAGGCUGCUUGCUGUGCUGGCUUUGCAACAAGACAGACUGUCCCCAAGAGUUCCUGCUGCUGCUGGGGGCUGGGCUUCCCUAGAUGUCACUGGACAGCUGCCCCCCAUCCUACUCAGGUCUCUGGAGCUCCUCUCUUCACCCCUGGAAAAACAAAUGAUCUGUUAACAAAGGACUGCCCACCUCCGGAACUUCUGACCUCUGUUUCCUCCGUCCUG
rnacentral:lncRNA from 1 species